rnacentral:rRNA from 1 species
AGAGACAGCAGCAGCCACGGGAAUACGUAGGUGGCAAGCGUUGUCCGGAAUUAUUGGGCGUAAAGCGAGCGCAGGCGGUUAGAUAAGUCUGAAGUUAAAGGCUGUGGCUCAACCAUAGUACGCUUUGGAAACUGUUUAACUUGAGUGCAAGGGGGGAGAGUGGAAUUCCAUGUGUAGCGGUGAAAUGCGUAGAUAUAUGGAGGAACACCGGUGGCGAAAGCGGCUCUCUGGCUUGUAACUGACGCUGAGGCUCGAAAGCGUGGGGAGCAAACAGGAUUAGAUACCCCGGUAGUCCCUGUCUCUUAUACA